AACCUGCGGAGGGAUCAUUACCGAGUUUACAACUCCCAAACCCCUGUGAACAUACCUAUACGUUGCCUCGGCGGAUCAGCCCGCGCCCCGUAAAAAGGGACGGCCCGCCCGAGGACCCCUAAACUCUGUUUUUAGUGGAACUUCUGAGUAAAACAAACAAAUAAAUCAAAACUUUCAACAACGGAUCUCUUGGUUCUGGCAUCGAUGAAGAACGCAGCAAAAUGCGAUAAGUAAUGUGAAUUGCAGAAUUCAGUGAAUCAUCGAAUCUUUGAACGCACAUUGCGCCCGCCAGUAUUCUGGCGGGCAUGCCUGUUCGAGCGUCAUUUCAACCCUCAAGCUCAGCUUGGUGUUGGGACUCGCGGUAACCCGCGUUCCCCAAAUCGAUUGGCGGUCACGUCGAGCUUCCAUAGCGUAGUAAUCAUACACCUCGUUACUGGUAAUCGUCGCGGCCACGCCGUAAAACCCCAACUUCUGAAUGUUGACCUCGGAUCAGGUAGGAAUACCCUCUGAACUUAAGCAUAUCAAUA
rnacentral:rRNA from 1 species